AUGGGAUGGAGCCAGAUCAUCCUCUUUCUGGUGGCAGCAAUUACAUGUGCCCACUCCCAGGUCCAGCUGCAGCAGUCAGGAGCUGAGCUAGCGAGUCCUGGGGCCUCAGUGAAGCUGUCCUGCAAGGCUUCUGGCUACACCUUCACCGACCAUAUUAUAAGUUGGAUAAAAAAGAGGCCUGGGCAGGGCCUUGAGUGGAUUGGAAGGAUUUAUCCUGUAAGUGGUGAAAUUAAUUACAAUCAAAAGUUCAUGGGCAAGGCCACAUUUUCUGUAGACCAGUCCUCCAGCACAGUGUACAUGGUGUUGAAUAGCCUGACAUCUGCAGACCCUGCUGUCUAUUACUGUGGAAGGCACAGUGUUACAACCACAUCCUGA